rnacentral:rRNA from 1 species
AUGGCGAACAAGGGUGAUCCGUCGGGCUCAGGAUCCAAGGGCAAGGGCAAGUUGGAGGAUUUGAUGCAGGAGCUGGCGCUGAAAGAGGAUGAUCUGGAUGACGUGAUCUUUGAGGAUGAUGAUGAGCCGGCAGAGGAAGAACUCCGGUGGAUGAUUCUGGCUCGGGUUCACAUGGAUAAGGGCUAUAGCUCGUACUGGUUCUUCCGAAACAUGAGGACGGCUUGGGAUCUUGCCAGGCCGGUUAAGAUCAAAACCCUAGAGGAGAACCUGUUUCAAAUGCAGUUCGACUGCCUAGGGGAUUGGGAGCGGGUCACGCUAGGGGGGCCGUGGCACUUCAGAGGAAACCCUGUGAUCAUUGCUCCGUAUGAUGGCUACUCAAAACCCUCUGAGAUCGAACUUUUCAAGUUUGAGAUCUGGGCAAGAAUUAUUGAUCUCCCGAUCGCUUUCCAUGGCAAAGUCAAGGCACUAGCCUCCAAGUUCGGCGAGUUUGUCGAGUCAGAACCAUCAUCUUUUGAUUUCGAGGGGAAUUUCUACAGAGUUAGGGUCAGGCUUGAUGUGUGCAACCCCUUGAAGAAAGCAACCUCGCUGAUCCGAGGGGGUGAGAGACAGAUUUUUGCUGUCAAGUACGAACACCUGCCAGACUGGCGCCGUAACAGAAACCAGAGGAACAGGACAGCUGACCAACAAGGGUCGGGCCAGCAAGCUUCGGAAGAUGAUGAUGAUCUUGAGCGAGAAAAGAUGGAGACGGAGGAGUCUGAUGCCAAUCGCAAACGUCCUUCUGAUGAAGUGCAGGGAUUGCAAAACCAAAAAGAUGACAAGGAGCACGUCGACUCCCUCGACCCGGGAAUCCCCGUCCCCAUCGACGGCGGUGUCAGGCCCAUCCCAAGGCGCCACCCGCUCGUCGUGGACAUGCCCGAGCCCGCCAAGAAGUCCGCCGCGCCACGGAGGGGCUCCUGGGGGCCCGAGAACCAUAAUGGCGCCGGCGGUGCUGGGGUGUUCGCGUCACCCAAGGUGGUCAGGCCUAUUGCGCUGAACUUUGAGGAGAGGACGCCCGUCAAGGAGUGGCCCUCGCCGGCCCGCAGCUCGGCGUCGCUUAGGAAGAGCACCACCGUCAUGCCCAGGCUGGUGACACGAAGGCGGAUCUUAGUCGCCAACAGGGGCGACCCUCUUCCUCCUCGGAACAAGAUCCCAACAGCGUGUUCCCACCUCCCACCAGGUCAGGUCGAAGAUGACAAUCUGAUAGUGUUCACUACAGUUUGCUGA